AACGAACGCUGGCGGCAUGCCUAACACAUGCAAGUCGAACGAGACCUUCGGGUCUAGUGGCGCACGGGUGCGUAACGCGUGGGAACCUGCCCUUAGGUUCGGAAUAACUCCCCGAAAGGGGUGCUAAUACCGGAUAAUAUCUUCUGACCAAAGAUUUAUCGCCUUUGGAUGGGCCCGCGUUGGAUUAGCUAGUUGGUAGGGUAAAAGCCUACCAAGGCGACGAUCCAUAGCUGGUCUGAGAGGAUGAUCAGCCACACUGGGACUGAGACACGGCCCAGACUCCUACGGGAAGCAGCAGUGGGGAAUAGUGGACAAUGGGCGAAAGCCUGAUCCAGCAAUGCCGCGUGAGUGAUGAAGGCCUUAGGGUUGUAAAGCGCUUUUACCCGGGAUGAUAAUGACAGUACCGGGAGAAUAAGCCCCGGCUAACUCCGUG
rnacentral:rRNA from 1 species